GCUGGACGUAUCACAAGUGCGAAUGCUGACAUAAGUAACGAUAAAACGGGUGAAAAACCCGUUCGCCGGAAGACCAAGGGUUCCUGUCCAACGUUAAUCGGGGCAGGGUGAGUCGGCUCCUAAGGCGAGGCUGAAAAGCGUAGUCGAUGGGAAACAGGUUAAUAUUCCUGUACUUGGUAAAGCUGCGAUGUGGGGACGGAGUAGGUUAGGUUAUCGCACUGUUGGAUAUGUGCGUUUAAGUUGGUAGGUGGGAAGUUUAGGCAAAUCCGGACUUCCUUAACACAGAGAGAUGAUGACGAGGCUCUACGGAGCUGAAGUAACUGAUACCACACUUCCAGGAAAAGCCACUAAGCGAAAGGCUUUACUAAACCGUACUGAAAACCGACACAGGUGGUCAGGUAGAGAAUACUCAGGCGCUUGAGAGAACUCGGGUGAAGGAACUAGGCAAAAUAGCACCGUAACUUCGGGAGAAGGUGCGCCGGCGUAGAUUGUAGUCCCUAGCGGGCGAAGGUUGAACCGGUCGAAGAUACCAGCUGGCUGCAACUGUUUAUUAAAAACACAGCACUCUGCAAACACGAAAGUGGACGUAUAGGGUGUGAUGCCUGCCCGGUGCUGGAAGGUUAAUUGAUGGUGUCAUCGCAAGAGAAGCACCUGAUCGAAGCCCCAGUAAACGGCGGCCGUAACUAUAACGGUCCUAAGGUAGCGAAAUUCCUUGUCGGGUAAGUUCCGACCUGCACGAAUGGCAUAAUGAUGGCCAGGCUGUCUCCACCCGAGACUCAGUGAAAUUGAAAUCGCCGUGAAGAUGCGGUGUACCCGCGGCUAGACGGAAAGACCCCGUGAACCUUUACUAUAGCUUGACACUGAACAUUGAAUUUUGAUGUGUAGGAUAGGUGGGAGCCUUUGAAGCAGUGACGCCAGUCAUUGUGGAGGCGACCUUGAAAUACCACCCUUUAACGUUUGAUGUUCUAACGAAGAUGACGAAACGUGGUCUCGGACAGUGUCUGGUGGGUAGUUUGACUGGGGCGGUCUCCUCCCAAAGCGUAACGGAGGAGCACGAAGGUUUGCUAAUCACGGUCGGACAUCGUGAGGUUAGUGCAAUGGUAUAAGCAAGCUUAACUGCGAGACAGACAAGUCGAGCAGGUACGAAAGUAGGUCAUAGUGAUCCGGUGGUUCUGAAUGGAAGGGCCAUCGCUCAACGGAUAAAAGGUACUCCGGGGAUAACAGGCUGAUACCGCCCAAGAGUUCAUAUCGACGGCGGUGUUUGGCACCUCGAUGUCGGCUCAUCACAUCCUGGGGCUGAAGUAGGUCCCAAGGGUAUGGCUGUUCGCCAUUUAAAGUGGUACGCGAGCUGGGUUUAGAACGUCGUGAGACAGUUCGGUCCCUAUCUGCCGUGGGCGUUGGAUGAUUGAUUGGGGCUGCUCCUAGUACGAGAGGACCGGAGUGGACGCAUCACUGGUGUUCCAGUUGUCUCGCCAGAGGCAUUGCUGGGUAGCUAAAUGCGGAAGAGAUAAGUGCUGAAAGCAUCUAAGCACGAAACUUGCCAAGAGAUGAGUCAUCCCUGACUUUAAGUCAGUAAGGGUUGUUGUAGACUACGACGUAGAUAGGUCAGGUGUGUAAGUGUAGUGAUACAUUGAGCUAACAGAUACUAAUUGCCCGAGAGGCUUAACUAU
rnacentral:rRNA from 1 species